CAGACGCUAAGAACACCGUGUAACAAUUUUUUUUUUUUGGGUAGCGGUUCCUAAGUAAGUGUUAUUUCCUAAUUGCGUUUUCCUAUUAUUUCCUACAAGGCAUUCUCCUUUCCUGUCGGGGAUCAAGACAAACCCUGGGCACCUAAUUUCACCUGCGAGCACUGCAAAAAAAAAAAAAAAAAAAACCCGGAAGCAAAAAUGUUGGCAAGGCUUGACUUUCCCACUCCGUGAUCCCCCAACAAAACCACACGAUAAAGACACUCCGCUCCAGAGCUGUCCGAAUCCGAGUCUGAAGACCAGUUGGCCCGUGAGUGGAUGCUCUUGUCUCCGGGGUGGUAUGAGGCAGACUGGGCGAGCGGAAGGUGAUACGGGUCAGUCGAGGGGUCUCUGUCUCCCCGGCCCGCUUGACGUGAGGAGGAGAAUCAAUCAGUUAGGGGGCAGUGGAGUUUGCUUGAGGUCCAGCCUGCCCAGAAACGCUACACCGCUGCAGUCAUAGCAACAGCCAGCUGAGUUCCACAACGCUUUUAAAAAUUCAAGAGCGGAGUCAAGGAUUUCUUUCUCAUCUCGCGAGCUGUCACGCAUUCAGUGGUCUCACUUGUCCCAUCGCGCGCGCAGUGAGGCGUCCUCACGCGCUUGGAAAAAUAUCGGUGGGCUCCUGUUGCCAACUCUGCUCAAGUCCAGUGCGCGUGGAGCGGCGAAACGUGCCUUCUGUUUAUAUUACUCACAUGACUCAUAAACACAGCUCAACAAAUGGACUGUAAGUCUCGUGGGUCCUCUACGAGCGCCUUUUAACAUC